rnacentral:rRNA from 1 species
AUUGAACGCUGGCGGCAUGCCUUACACAUGCAAGUCGAACGGUAGCGCGGGGCAACCUGGCGACGAGUGGCGAACGGGUGAGUAAUAUAUCGGAACGUGCCCAGUUGUGGGGGAUAACUGCUCGAAAGAGCAGCUAAUACCGCAUACGACCUGAGGGUGAAAGCGGGGGAUCGCAAGACCUCGCGCAAUUGGAGCGGCCGAUAUCAGAUUAGGUAGUUGGUGGGGUAAAGGCCUACCAAGCCGACGAUCUGUAGCUGGUCUGAGAGGACGACCAGCCACACUGGGACUGAGACACGGCCCAGACUCCUACGGGAGGCAGCAGUGGGGAAUUUUGGACAAUGGGGGCAACCCUGAUCCAGCCAUGCCGCGUGCGGGAAGAAGGCCUUCGGGUUGUAAACCGCUUUUGUCAGGGAAGAAAAGACUCCUACUAAUACUGGGGUUCAUGACGGUACCUGAAGAAUAAGCACCGGCUAACUACGUGCCAGCAGCCGCCGCGG